rnacentral:rRNA from 1 species
GUACACUCCUGCGGGAGGCAGCAGUGGGGAAUAUUGGACAAUGGGCGCAAGCCUGAUCCAGCCAUGCCGCGUGAGUGAUGAAGGCCCUAGGGUUGUAAAGCUCUUUCACCGGUGAAGAUAAUGACGGUAACCGGAGAAGAAGCCCCGGCUAACUUCGUGCCAGCAGCCGCGGUAAUACGAAGGGGGCUAGCGUUGUUCGGAUUUACUGGGCGUAAAGCGCACGUAGGCGGACUAUUAAGUCAGGGGUGAAAUCCCGGGGCUCAACCCCGGAACUGCCUUUGAUACUGGUAGUCUUGAGUUCGAGAGAGGUGAGUGGAAUUCCGAGUGUAGAGGUGAAAUUCGUAGAUAUUCGGAGGAACACCAGUGGCGAAGGCGGCUCACUGGCUCGAUACUGACGCUGAGGUGCGAAAGCGUGGGGAGCAAACAGGAUUAGAUACCCUUGUAGUCCCAU